GGACCACCGGCUGCUUUGAGAUGCGCUCUUACGAAGCCUUCGGGCUUAGUGGCGCACGGGUGCGUAACGCGUGGGAAUCUGCCCUUGGGUUCGGAAUAACAGUUAGAAAUGACUGCUAAUACCGAAUGAUGUCGUAAGACCAAAGAUUUAUCGCCCAGGGAUGAGCCCGCGUAGGAUUAGCUAGUUGGUGUGGUAAAGGCGCACCAAGGCGACGAUCCUUAGCUGGUCUGAGAGGAUGAUCAGCCACACUGGGACUGAGACACGGCCCAGACUCCUACGGGAGGCAGCAGUGGGGAAUAUUGGACAAUGGGCGAAAGCCUGAUCCAGCAAUGCCGCGUGAGUGAUGAAGGCCUUAGGGUUGUAAAGCUCUUUUACCCGGGAUGAUAAUGACAGUACCGGGAGAAUAAGCUCCGGCUAACUCCGUGCCAGCAGCCGCGGUAAUACGGAGGGAGCUAGCGUUAUUCGGAAUUACUGGGCGUAAAGCGCACGUAGGCGGCUUUGUAAGUUAGAGGUGAAAGCCUGGAGCUCAACUCCAGAACUGCCUUUAAGACUGCAUCGCUUGAAUCCAGGAGAGGUGAGUGGAAUUCCGAGUGUAGAGGUGAAAUUCGUAGAUAUUCGGAAGAACACCAGUGGCGAAGGCGGCUCACUGG
rnacentral:rRNA from 1 species